UUAAAAUGAAUUUUGUUGGUGCGAUAGUGUUUUUGGCCAACAUGCACUUGACAGAAUACUAACAAAACAUUCGCGAUUUAUUUUUACGUUGGCAGAUGGUAAUUGUUGGUAAUUGUAUUUGGUGUUGUCUAGGAAAUAUUAUAUAGCUGUGUUUUAUAUUACAUUUGCUGUAUAAGAGUAAGAAGCCAAUUUUCUUCUGCGGAACGUAAGAAUAAUAAGCCGGAAAUAUGUCGUACAUGCUAGGACAUCUCCACAAUGGAUGGCAAGUAGAUCAAGCUAUUUUGUCAGAGGAAGAUAGAGUAGUGAUUUUGGGUGUUCCGGACUGAGUAGUUGCAACUAGUCAACUACAAUCACAUUAAAAUAGGUUAUCAGGUUUGGACAUGACUGGGAUCCAUCCUGUAUGAAAAUGGAUGAAGUCUUGUACAGCAUAGCAGAAAAGGUACGAGUUGUACGACCCGUGUACCGUGAUGUUCUUCUUUCGCAACAAGCACA